AUCAACGCAAAAACAACACGUAUUAUUAACACUAGGGAAAGUACUAUACUACAAAGAAGUUAAAUAUUUAGAUUCAAAGAACAGCAGAAGAUGAGUCGAAGAGGUAACAGUCCAAAGCUUGAGUUGAAGUUGAACUUAUCGGCGCCGCGGCUGACGGUGCAAGCAAACCAGGAAGUUGAAUCCCCAACCGCGUCGGUUUCUUCAUGGGAAAUGUCACCGGAGAGUUCAUGCGUGUCAUCGGAGCCUGAAGAGACAACGAGUACCCCAAUGAAUUACACUAGUAGCCCAGCAGUAACGACUCCAAUGGUGCUGGCGGCCUGCCCUCGAUGCCUAAUGUACGUUAUGUUAUCAGACGUCGAUCGAAAAUGUCCAAGGUGCAAGAGCGCCGCCUUGCUUGACUUUCUUAAUGAAGAAAAUACCAAGAAGACGAACAAUUAAUAAACACUAACUACUUAGGUUCCUCUCUCUUUCUUCUUGUUCAUGGGCAACUAGGACUAUCGUCUCUCUUUUUCAAUGCUAAAUUUGAUGUAUUUUCUUUUACUUCUUAUGUUGGAAUUAUUGGUUAACCUUUUUCUCUAA